CAAAAAGAACCCACAGAAUUGUGGAGAUGAAACAGUCGCAAGGUGCCCAGCUGUCUCUGUCUGGAAGAAAGGGCACCGAAGAAGUGGGGUGCACAGCCUGGUUAUAUACCCCCAGAGAGGAUGUUUCACAGGAUUGAAAUGUCCCUUUUACAAUAGUCGCGAGACUGCUCUGUCGGCACAGCGAUUGAUGGAAACAGCAGUGAACCAGCAGCCCACACUUCUCUCUCCUGGGCUUCCCAAAAAUGCCAACUGAGCUGUGGCGCCUGUCAAGAUCCCCUCAGCCUGAUGGGAGCCCUCCGUCAACGUGCUGUUGUAUG
rnacentral:lncRNA from 1 species